CUAAAACGCCGCCAAUCUGCUUGCCUGCAGGCCCCUUCUUCCCGCUCACUCCCUCCUUCGAUCAAUCCACUUUCCACUUUUUCCUUAAAGAAGAUUCAUCUUUACUCACUGUAUUUCGAUUCUAGAGUUUAUUCUUUCCGAUGAUUACCGUUGCUCUUUCGAUUUCUAUCAUUAAUUUAAUUUGUUUGAUUGUUUUCACCAUUUUUAUUUCUCCGACUUUGCCAUGGAAAAGCCAAUCUGCUUCUGCUCGCGUGGAGAGGAGCAAGCAGGUUUAUUGCCUUCCUCAUCCUCGAGGAAGACGAUUCCUUUUUCAAAGUUGGGAUUUUUCUACCUCCGCCUCCUUAGCGGCAGUAUUUGUGAACAACAACAAUUGAUCUGCCUUAGGUCGGACCGCCUUUACACCAUCGGACGGACGAGACGGCAUUGCCAAAUCGUAUUUGACCACUGCUGUAUCAGCCGGCGUCACUGUCAGAUCUUUUUCGACGGAGCCGACCGAAGGCUCAGAUUGGUAGACGGGUUCUUACUUUCCCGCGAUUUUGAUCUCGAAGAGAUUAGGCGGAGACUCCGGUCCGAGCGCCAGGUUUUAGGGUUUAGGGUUUCUCUGAAUGGCGUAUUCGUAAACAGGCGAAAGCUUCUUGGAGGCGCCGUUGCAGAGUUGUCAGAGGGAGACGAGGUUGUCUUUGGCUGUGGCAGAUUAAGUUCGGUCUCUCAUUGUACGAGGAAAUACGGGUUUGUGGUGGAGAGAAUUAUUCUCUCAGAUUUUGCAGAAACCUUAGAUGUAAGUGGAAAAUUCGUGACCAGAGCGGAUCGCCUUCAAAACCUCUGCCAAAGAGUUUUAAGAAGUGAAGAUCCUAUAUGCUAUCUGCGUUGUUCUCUAGAGUCGAAUUCUGGAACGAUAAGCUCAAUACAUGGAGUUAGAGAUCAUGCCUCAGCCGCAUCAUUUCCGGUUCUGGGUUCAGAGGGCCAUACCAGACAGAACGAUAAAACAGCUAAUUAUGUUCAAAAUGAAAAGAUUUUAGCAGUAGAUCAUGUUGGCAAUGCAGAAACUAGUCCUUCGUCGCUUGAGAGAGGAAACAAUCUUUGUAGUAGUUUCUCCAAUGGUCAGUCUUUCUCUCUGAAUAGACUAGAAUUUAUGGCUCAUGAUACUUCAUAUCAGCAUACUGAGGUUACAUUGAUGGAGCUUCUUGAUCCCGUUGAAAGCCUUGUCCAAGUUUUUAUUGCAACUUUUACUUGCGAUGUUUCUUGGUUUCUAUCUUACUGUCAAAUUCCCAACCAUCUACCAGUAACAAUUGCUUUUCAUUCUGCUGAAAAAUGCUGGAGUUCUUGCUGCGAUGAUAGGACUUCGGCUCCAUAUUCAGACUAUCCAAAUUUAUUGCUUGUGUAUCCUCCAUUUCCAGAUGAAAUAGCAUUUGGUAAUGAUCGUAGUAAAAAAGGUGUGGCAUGCCAUCAUCCCAAACUGCUUGUUUUGCAGAGAGAAGAGAGUGUUCGUGUCGUUGUUACUUCAGCUAACUUGGUUUCGAAACAGUGGAAUCAAAUCACAAAUACAGUUUGGUGGCAAGAUUUUCCUCGUAGAGAUGCCCCUGAUUAUUCAUCCCUUUUUGCUACCAUUAAAGAUUUGAAAUCUGAUUUUGCAGCCCAGCUAGCUGGUUUUAUAGCAUCUCUUAUUAGUGAUGUUCCUAGCCAAGCACACUGGAUCAAAGAAUUGGCCAGAUUUGACUUUGGAGGGGCUGCUGCUUAUCUGGUUGCUUCCAUCCCUGGAAUGCAUGCACUAUACACAAUUUCUUCCGGAAUUAAUUUGUUCCAAAAUACUGAGGAGCACAUCGUGCUUUCAAAGGUUAUUACUUCGACAAAAUAUCUUGGUUCUGUUCAAGCAUCCGUAGUAGGUUUACGCCAUAGGUUUCAUAAUGCAAUUGAUUCAAGAGGUGAACAACUAAAGAAGCUGGCUUUAUUUCUUGGGAAGUUUAAAGAUAGUUCAUCCCGACUCAUGGAGGUUGUCCUGAAGAGAAACCACAAUAUUCCUGCAGAUGCUAAUGCUAUUAGUAUUUUGGUUUCCAACUUGGAUGAAAUGUCUAAUGGAGACUCUGUCCAACUUGGUUUUCUUCCAAGAGAUGUCGCAAAGUGGGCAGCCCCUCUUGUUGAUCAUGGGUUCUUAGAAAUUGCAGCAUUUGUAUGUCCUAAGGAAGCCCUAGCUGCUGCGUUAGAUGGAAAUAAUACAAAAAUUUCCAUUUCAAGUUCCUCACAUUUGAGAUUCAAAUCAUGCGAAAAUGACGGGAAAAUUAUGCAAUGCAGGGGCCAAAGUUUUCUGAAAUGUCAAGAUUAAUUCAAGCUGAACACUUACCUGCUUUAUGCUUAUUUAUUGCAUCCAUCCAACGGUGCCUUGGUCUGUGGCGCCUGAAAGAGGCAUCUUUCAAUGGUAUUAACAUCUAUUGGCAUCGUUCUGGACUUGGAUGUUGAUUUUGUUGUGUUUAAAACUUGAUAUUAGGUUAUGUCUCAGUACAAAUGGCCAGAAUAUUUAGAGACAGAUUUUGCGUAUG